rnacentral:rRNA from 1 species
UACGAGAGGCCCAAACGUUAUUCGGAAUUACUGGGCUUAAAGAGUUCGUAGGCGGCGCAGAAAGUAGGGUGUGAAAGCCCUCGGCUCAACCGAGGAAUUGCGCUCUAAACUACUGUGCUUGAGGAAGCUAGAGGUGAGCGGAACUGAUGGUGGAGCGGUGAAAUGCGUUGAUAUCAUCAGGAACACCGGAGGCGAAGGCGGCUCACUGGGGCUGUUCUGACGCUGAGGAACGAAAGCCAGGGGAGCGAACGGG